CAUUUUCAAUAAAACUGGAAUUUACACUAAGGGUUGCUUCCGUGAACUCAAAGAAUUCAUCAGGAAUCAUGUACUUAGCAUUGGUUUGGCAGCGCUUUUCUUUUUGGUCUUUGAGAUUGUUUUAAU